UUGUUCUUUAUAAGCUUUACCUUUUCCCCCCUAUUGGCAUCUUCCAUGCCUACCCAGCCUGGCUGCCACUUGAAAAUCGUUGAUCCCAAUGGCUGACGCGAUCAGCGCCGCCGGUUCUUGCCUGCAGCCCCUCUGCGAAUGCUUGGAUGGCACAGGCAUGCUGGACGCGGCGGCCCGGGAGGUCGCCUCGUUCCUUCACCUCAAAUCCAACUGGGCCGAUCUCGACAAGGCCAAGAAGCUACUGCUUGCUGUCGAGACGACGGUGAGGGCGCGAGUCACCGCAGAGGUGGACAAGCUGAACAUCUGUGACCCUCAGGUGCAGGUCUGGCUGAGGCGUAUCGAAGAGCUACAACUGGAUGCCAUCGACGAGGACUACAGCCAGUUGAGGAAGUAUUCUUGCCUCGGCCAGUGCACCAUCCAUGCUCACCGGCGUGCCUCGAUCGGCAGGCAUGUUCUUGAGGCUCUAGAUGAGGCAAAUAAACUUAUUGAAGAAGGGAGGCGGUUCAAGAAAUUUGGAUUCAAGCCCCUUCCCAAGAUUGUUGAUCCAUUGCCUCAAAUCGAGACGUUUGGUUUGGAGACCAUGCUGAGUCAGCUCCAUGAUCUGUUUGAGAAGGGCGACUCGAAUAUAAUUGGUGUGUGGGGUCAAGGAGGUGUUGGCAAGACGACGCUUCUACAUGUUUUCAACAAUGAUCUUGAAAAGAAGGCCCAUGACUAUCAGGUUGUUAUCUUUAUUGAAGUAUCCAAUUCAGAGACGCUGAACAUAGUGGAGAUACAACAGACUAUCUCCGAAAGGCUCAACUUGCCAUGGAAUGAUGCAGAGCCAAUUGCCAAACGGGCCAGAUUCUUGAUAAAGGCACUUGCUAGGAAAAGAUUUGUAAUCCUGCUUGAUGAUGUAAGGAAGAAAUUCCGACUGGAGGAUGUUGGUAUCCCAACUCCAGAUACCAAAAGUCAGAGCAAGCUGAUCCUCACAUCACGUUACCAAGAAGUAUGCUUCCAGAUGAAUGCACAAAGAAGCUUGAUUAAGAUGCAGAUUUUGGGUAACGAUGCUUCAUGGGAACUGUUCUUGAGCAAGCUUAGCAAGGAGGCUAGUGCAGCAGUUGAAUCGCUUGGUUCCCAGAAUACUUCUAGAGAGCAUGCUAUGGCAAUAGCCCGAAGUUGUGGAGGACUGCCACUUGCACUCAAUGUCAUUGGGACCGCUGUGGCAGGCUUGGAAGAGGGUGAGUGGAAAUCAGCUGUGGAUGCAAUUGAUACUAAUAUGGAGAAUAUUGAUGGUGUGGAUGAAAUGUUUGGUCGGUUGAAAUACAGCUACGACAGGCUCACAACCACUCAACAACAGUGUUUCUUAUACUGCACUCUUUUCCCAGAAUAUGGAUCUAUCAGUAAAGAGCAACUUGUUGAUUAUUGGUUAGCUGAAGGUUUGCUAUUACAUGAUCGUGAGAAUGGUUAUCUGAUAUUCCGCAGUCUCGUUUCAGCCUGCUUGUUGCAGGCCAGUGGCUCAAUGUCUUCAAAGGUAAAAAUGCACCAUGUAAUCAGGCAACUGGGUCUUUGGUUGGUCAACAAGUCAGAUACAAAGUUUCUUGUUCAACCAGGGAUGGCCUUGGAUAAUGCUCCAUCAGCUGGAGAAUGGAAUGAAGCUACAAGGAUCUCCAUCAUGUCUAAUAACAUCACCGAGCUUUCUUUCUCACCAAAGUGCAAAAAUGUUACCACUCUGUUGAUGCAGAACAACCCAAAUUUGAACAAGAUGAGCUAUGGAUUUUUCAGAACUAUGUCAUCCUUGAAAGUUCUGGAUCUUUCUCAUACUGCAAUAACAUCACUUCCAGAAUGUGAUGCAUUGGUUGCAUUGGAGCAUCUGAAUUUGUCUCACACACACAUUAUGAGAUUACCUGAGCGCCUAUGGUUACUGAAAGAGUUGAGGCAUUUGGAUCUGAGUGUGACUGUUGCACUUGAAGAUACCAUGAACAACUGCUCAAAGUUGCACAAGUUGAAAGUGCUCAAUCUCUUCCGCAGCCACUAUGGUAUCCGUGAUGUUGACAACCUGAAUUUGGAUUCUCUGAAGGAACUACUGUUCCUUGGAAUCACUAUUUAUGCAGAGGAUGUGCUAAAGAAAUUGAACAUGCCUCGUCCUUUGGCGAAGUCAACACAUCGCUUAAACUUGAAGUAUUGUGCAGAUAUGCAAUCAAUCAAAAUCUCUGACCUCAGCCACAUGGAGCACCUUGAGGAGCUGUAUGUUGAAUCAUGCUAUGACCUGAACACAGUGGUUGCUGAUGCUGAGCUUACAACUUCACAGUUGCAGUUCCUGACCCUGUCAGUUCUUCCCUCGUUGGAAAGUGUCCUUGUUGCACCAAUGUCCCAUAAUUUUCAGUACAUUCGCAAAUUGAUCAUUUCACACUGCCCCAAGUUGUUGAACAUAACAUGGGUCCGAGGACUUCAGCUUCUUGAGAGGCUUGUCAUAUCUCAUUGUGAUGGGGUGCUCGAAAUUGUUGAAGAUGAGGAGCAGUGUGGAGAACAAAUGAAAAUGCAGGAUCAUGCUUCAGAUGAACAAGAAGAUCAUGCUAUGGUAGAAACUUCACGGAAUGACACAGGGCAGAGUGACUUCCCAAAGUUGAGAUUGAUCGUAUUGACGGGACUUAAGAAGCUGAGAAGUAUUUGUAAAGCAAGAGAAUUCCCAUGCCUUGAGACCCUUCGGGUGGAGGAUUGCCCAAAUCUGAGGAGCAUCCCGCUAAGCUGCACGCAUAACUAUGGGAAACUGAAGCAGAUAUGUGGUUCAGUUGAAUGGUGGGAGAAACUGCAGUGGGAAAAUAAGGAGGAGGUGGCAUGUCUGAACAGCAAGUACUUCAUUCCAAUCUGACAGAGCCCCAAUUUCAAUGGCUUUUGUAUGGCAUGCAGCAUUCAGAAUCUAAGAUGGCAUGUGAAGUGCAUCUGAAAGGGAAAGGCAUUUGGAUUGGCAAAUGAUCUAGUUCCAGUUGCAGAGGCAAUGUUCAUCCUUGUGCUGUGCUGGCAGCAAAGGAUUACAAGUCUGCCAAGUGCCACAUUUCGGAAGUUCUAUUCUAUGAGGUAGAACUCAAUCUCUCAUGGUAGCAACUUGAUGACCUGUACAAGCAUAGCAGCUAGUGUGUUUAAUGCAUGCUUCCCAUGUAAACUGCAUGGCAAAAUCAACCAAGUUGGAAAUACCACCAGUCCACCCUCCUUGCUGAAGAUCAAAUACUUGCUGACAGAUAUAAAUGCGUUUUCCUGGAAAUAUGUUGAAUGCUGAAAAUAUUCUGAGGCAUGACAAUUGUAUAAGCUUGAUUGACAAAGCAAUCGCUUCAUUCGUUAUUUUCCCCAUCUUCUAUUGUACAUAACAAAAGGUAUUACCUAUGUCUCUAUGCAUCUAUUUUCAUAAUGUAGUAUGACAAUGUGAUUAUAUUACUGAAAACAUAUUGCGACAAAACUGGAAUAGUUAGUU